AGUGAACGCUGGCGGUAGGCCUAACACAUGCAAGUCGAACGGCAGCACAGUAAGAGCUUGCUCUUACGGGUGUCGAGUGUCGGACGGGGGCGGAAUACACCGGAAUAUACUUUUUCGUGGGGGAUAACGUAGGGAAACUUACGCUAAUACCGCAUACGACCUACGUGUGAAAGCAGGGGAUCUUCGGACCUUGCGCGAUUGAAUGAGCCGAUGUCGGCUUAGCUGGUUGGCGGGGUAAAGGCCCACCAAGGCGACGAUCCGUAGCUGGUCUGAGAGGGUGAAUAGGCAGACUGGAACUGAGACACGGCACAGACUCCUGCAGGAGGAAGCGGUGGGGAAUAUUGGGGGAUGGACGCAAGCGUGAUCCAGCCAAAUCGGCUAGGGGAAGAAGGAGUUCGGGUUCUAAAGCCAUUUUGUUGGGAAAGUAAAGCAGCACUUUAAUCCCCCACUGUUAUGACGGUACCCAAAGAAUAAGCACCGGCUAACUUCGUG
rnacentral:rRNA from 1 species